rnacentral:lncRNA from 1 species
UCCGACGACCUUUGAGAAUAAAUUAACCAAAUAAGUAGUUGGAAAAGAAAAGAAAACUUGAACUCAACGGUCCAUGAAAAUGAGCUCCACCAAAGAAAAUUUCGUGAAUUAGCAGUAAAAUAAAAGACAAUGAGUGCAAUUGCCUGAAAUCAUCAUAUCAGUAUAUUCUUGAGUUAAAAAGAACUCAUUCCGCAAUCAAACGGGAUGGGGAGUAUUUAUAGCAAUCAUCGUAAAACACGAUUUCUGUUUGUAAAUCAAACGAGAUGGGGAGUUAAAAAGAACUCAUUCCGCAAUCAUCGCGAAACAUGUCCGGCGACCACAAUUUCUGUUUGUACAGUGAAUUCACCGCCAUCGACGGUGAUUCUGAUGGCGGAGCUGCGGUGAGAAGACCUAACCAACCCAACCCAACCCAACCCCUAUGAGAGGGUGGUGGGGAGGAGCACCGAUGACUCGGGCAAUAGGUGAAGAAUUUGGAAAAGAAAGUUGAAUACGAGAGAACCAGGAGAAGGGAGGAAGAGAUCACAUUUGGCUUUUGAUGAAAGGACAAAAUAGUCCCUCACAUAAAUGGGUGGAAGGAUAAAACAGUCCCUCAAAACUAAACAAUUAAACAAGUAAAAUAAAUAAAUAAAUCAGACAUUGACACGUGGUGCGCGUGUACUACACAUCCCAUCCCAAGAUUAAUUAAGGGUUAUUAACUGGAUAUUAAAUUCAUCCCAAACAAAAAUAGAGGAGACAUAAGUCAUCCGUAAAGUUAAAGUGUGUAAAUAAUUUUUUGGAACAAGUUUGAUGGAUAAUUUAUAUAUUAUCUCUUAAGUUUAUAUAUAUUAUGAAUUAAAAUAUGUACUCGACUUUGCCAAAAGUAUAGUAAAUCAAAAGUUCUUCUUCACGUGUCAACUGGUUGGUACAAUCCAACUCAUUUACUUUUGUUUUCUUUUCUCUUACUCUUUGAUAUGCUUAUCCUUUAAUUGAUUAAUAUGUUGCGUCGAUUUGCUGUAAUCAUUCAGACUACAGCAUGAUUGAAGUAUUUCAUUUAGGAUAUUGAGGUUUGUGUGCCUUGUUACUCUUCAAGGGAUGAAUGGAAUAUAGUAUUGAGCACUUGUUUAAUAAAAGGGAUUUUAUAUAUAUAUAUAUAUAUAUAUAUAUAUAUUCCAUACUAUAUUACGUAAUAUGUAGAUAUGGUACUUCUUGUACCUCUCAAGUCUAAGAUCCUCCUCAUGUGAUGUUACUUCCCUAAUCUCAGGCUGAACUUGAACAACUAGUUGCACUUGUAUAACCUCUGGACCUGGUCAACAUGGGCCCACUGCUCUAGGGUACGGGCCGUAAGAGUCUGAGUUACUCUCUUAUUUGAGAUGUGGAUGGUGCAAGUGGGAAUGGGAUCAACCCUGCCUAAGCUAGAGUACUAAACAAGCUCAAGAACUAUGCGAGGAUCUUCUGAAGUGAAGGGGUGGCAACAGGCGCCUCAGAUGCAUGGCCCCCAAUUAGAGCUAAUGGUGGCUCAUCUAUCCCAGCUCGGGCAGGUGCUCUAGUUGCACCAUGAACGGCUUUUGCCCCGGCCCCGGCCUCUCGCGGCUCUAGAAGUGGGCACGAGCUUCUGAUCAUCGAAACCAAUUAUGCAUGUCCUCACCAUCUCUGAGAGGAUAAAAAGAGAAAGAUUCAGGAUUUUGAAUCAACCAUUACCCACAAUAAGAAAUCAAGGAAAUGAAGGUUCCUAACAGUUCUAAAGCCUCUUAAAGAUAAGUAUAGACGUCUCUGUAUAUAUCCACAAGACACUACUAAACCCGGUUAUGACUCGUAACACCUAUGAACCUAAAGCUCUAAUACCAAUUUAUCAUGACCGCAAAUCUCCCUUCGUAGGCUGUCGUGCUGGCACCUAGUCUUUAAGACUGGGUAAGCCUAACAUACAUAAAGAAUUAACGGAAAUAAUAAUAAAAAUUCCAAUUAAACGAACAACUAUCAUAAAAGUACUGCACAAUACAACUGAAAAUAACAACCAAAAUCUGGUGAGACCGAGUCAUAAGGUCUGCAUGAGUAUACCAAAACAUCCCCAGUACAUCAGUAUCUAUAAUAGGAAUAUGAAAUAUAAACUAAGAUAGAUGGUGACUCCAAGGCAUGCGAACGUCGACAGGUAUACCUUGAAGUUUGCGAUCCAAGCUCAACUCAUGGAUGCCUAUGCUAGUAUAAAGUACCUAGAUCUGCAAAAAAUGAUGUGCACAAGACAUACUAUGAGUACACCAUAACGGUAACCAGUAAAUAUCAAGUCUAACCUCAGUAGAGUAAUUACGAGGUUAGGUCAAGACACUUAUUAGAAUAAAUAAAGAACCUAAACAGGUAUGGUACAGUAUAAUAAUGGAAAUAAGGAAUCGAUACAAUAAAGAGAUACAACAAGAAUAGCUACAUUACAAUUAAGGCAAUAAAGACAUCACGAAGGGAACACAUAAUAAGAGUAAAAAGAAAACAAUGCAGACAAAACAAAAGUGACGUAAAUGAAAGAUAACAACAAGAGCCACUACUGAGUUACCGCCUUGUAGUCUCAUUCCACAAAUCAAUUCGCAAUCUUUCCUUAUAUCACAUCGAGAGCCUUGCAUUUGGUUUUAAAGAUCAUUUUCCCAAAUAGCUACCCAUGUUUUAGCCCACCUUAUCACACCGCAUGGCUUCAAGUGGUUCUCAUAUUAGGAACGCCUGUAUCAAGCACACCUUAUCUCACCGCAUGCGUAUCAACCCCUAUCCUUAUACCACCACAUGCAUAUCAAUAAUACAACAUAUAUCAAAUCGUACCUCAAGUUUCCAAUACCAUAGCUUGCCAAAGAAGUCAACCAUAAUAAUGUUUCCACAAUAAAUAGGUCAUGGCUCAAUCAUAAUAUAUACAAGAGUCUCAACAAUAGCAAUCGAAAGUGAAUAACUCAUCAAGAAUGGUAUUUAAACAAUUUGCAACUUUGCCUCAAUGUGAUCACGGCUUUUACAAUUUCAACACCAAAACUCAACAAAAAGAUAUUCCAAUAAAUAAAAAAUUUAAGUAAUGUAACUCAAGAGUUAAGUAUUUAACAAGGAAAUUAGUAAAAUCGUAAUUUCAACUAAGCAAGCAUAUGACAAGUAAGAGAUGAGACAAGUAUUAACAAUGUCAAGUGAAGUAUGUAAGGAUGGAUUAAUGAUGAUAAAUAUAAUAUGUGUUGACAAUUCAAUUAAAGGCAUGAAAGGAUUCACAUAGCUUAAAUCGGUCAAUUAUUAUAUUUAGCCCGUGUACCCACUCGUCACCUUACUUAUUCGACUUUCACAUACUACAGUUAACACAAAAGUUUUUUCAUGCAAAUUUAGGUAAGAUACUUACCUCAAAAUACACUAAAUCAAUCCUCUAGUACCUUUUACGUGAAUAUCCAACUCUGAACAACUCGAAUCUAGCAUAAAUAACUUUAUACCAUAAAUACAAAUCAUAGAAAACUAUUCCGAAUAAUAAAGUUGCAAAUUUUAAAGAAAAUAAAAAAUUCAACUCCGGGCUUGUGUCUUGGAACCUAACCAAACAUACAAAAUCCUAACAUCCAUUCUCAUGUCAUUACUUAUGCUUUUCGAUCAUCUUCCUUAGUAACCUCUUGAUAUUUUUGUUGGUUGCUUCUACAGUUUCAUUCAUAUGAGGUCUGUAGGUUGUAGAGUACUUGUGUUUGAUCAUGAAUGUCUCACACAUUGCUUUCAUCAGGUCGCUAUUAAGAUUGGAACUAUUAUCAGUGAUGAUUGAUUCCAGAAUUCUGAACCAACAAACAAUGCAGUCGCGGACAAAAUCUGCCAUAACCUUCUUAGUGACCGCCUUGUAUGAUGUUGCUUCAACCCAUUUGGUGAAAUAAUCAAUUGGUACUAAGAUGAUUAUGUUCCCGUUUGAUAAGGCUGGCUUGAAGGUUCGAUAACAUUCAUUCCCCAAGCGGCGAAUGGCCAUGGUGAGCUUGUUGCAGUAACCUCGUUUUGGACUCUGGGGACGUGCUGAAAUUUUGUCUUUGUGAACCUUUUCCUCAACUCCUGUAAGUAAUGCAAGUAGGGAAGUAUCUUAGAGUUCUUGGUUGCCCACUCCUCUCGAACCUGAUGUAUGAGCAAGUCUGAAUCCCCGAUCACUAGCAAUUCCUGAAUGUUCAUGCCAAUGGCCAUUUUGAGCCCCAAGAUGCAGGCUACAUAGUUGGCCAUAUUAUUGGUGCAAGGGAACUUGAGCUUGGCGGAUACCGGGUAGUGCUGGUCGAUUUCUGAUACUAGGACUGCUCCUAUGCCAACUCCUUUGAAAUUUGCAGCUCCGUCGAAAAACAUCCUCCAACCAACAUAGGAUUCUACAAUAUCUUCUCCUAUGAAAGCUAUUUCUUCGUCGGGAAAAUAUGUCUUCAAUGGUUCAUACUCUCCUUCCACAGGAUUUUCUGCGAGAUGAUCUGCCAAAUCCUGUCCUUUUCCUUCCUUUUGGGUGACAUAGACAAUGUCGAAUUCACUCAACAAAAUUUGCCACUUGGCGAGCUCGCCAGCGGGCACGGGUUUCUGAAAAAUAUAUUUCAGUGGAUCCAUUUUUGAUAUGAGGUAGGUGGUGUAAGCACAAAAAUGAUGCCUCAACUUCUGAGCUAUCCAAGUUAAAGCAUAACAGGUGCGUUCUAAUAAGGAAUACCGAGCCUCGUACGGGGUAAAUUUCUUGCUGAGUUAGUAAAUAGCUUGCUCUACCUUAAACCAUCAUAGGAUUUUGCAAUAUCUUCUUCUAUAAAAGAUACCUCUUCAUCGGGAAAAUAUGUUUUUAAAGACACUUAUCCGCCAAGGCUUGCCCUUUGAUUGUUUUCUAGGUCACACAAACAAUGACGAAUUCACUUAGCAGGAUUUUUCACUUUGCGAGCUUGCCAGCGGGCAUGGAUUUCUGGAAGAUAUACUUCAGCGGGUCCAUCCUUGAUAUAAGAUAAGUAGUGUAGGCACAGAAGUAAUGCCUCAAUUUCUAAGCUACCCAAGGCAAAUCACAACAAGUGCGCUCUAGAAGAGAAUACUGGGUCUCGUACGAUGUGAACUUCUUACUAAAAUAGUAUAUGGCUUGCUCCUUUCUCCCUGAUUCAUUGUAUUGUUCCAGAACACAACCGAAUGCUCCAUCCAAUACUGCCAGGUAAAGCAAUAGAGGUAUUUCUGGCUCGGGCGAAACUAAGACUGGCAGCUUUGACAGGCAUUCCUUAAUUCUGUCGAAAGAUUUCCGACAAUCACUAGUCCACUUGGUAACAUUGUCCUUUUUCAUCAUUUUAAAGAUGGGUCCACAAAUGACAGUGGACUGAGCUAUAAAUCGGCUGAUAUAGUUGAGUCUCCCCAGGAAACUCAUUACGUCUUUCUUGUUCUUUGGCAGUGGCAAUUCUUGGAUGGCUUUGACCUUUCAGUAGAUAGUCAAGACUCACACGCAUAGUCAAAGUGAAGAAAAAAGUCAAAACAAGUAAAGGUUUCACAGUAAUAAGGGAGGAAACCCUUAUGAAAAAUUAGGGUUUUUAAAAAAUCAGUUGAGUUUAGAGAUGACAAAUAGGUGAAACAACAGGCGAUUUCAGAGUCCCAAGUGAAAACCCUAAAAAUUUGGGUUUUCAGUAAACCAAACAGAUAGGCUCAAGAACUCGAAUAAAUCCCCCAAAUUAGGGUUCAAAUAAACCUAGAGAUGAUAAGCAUAUGAAUCGAUAUAAACCUUAACAAUAGACUCAAACAAAAAUCCUAAAAAUUAGGGUUUUCACCAUGCUAAUUCAGAUAAGGAAAACAAACAAGCAAAGUGUAAAGACAUGCCAAUAAUAAGAGAGAAGAUUCGAAAUAACCUAACAUAAACCCAGUUAAAAGAACAUAGAGUUUCAAAAGAAAAAAAUGGGGAAACUUCGAGAAACAUGCUCAAAAAGUUCAAACACACAUAGAUUUAGAGAAGAUCUAAAAAUAAAUCGAAGAAACCGUAGAGCUAGGGUUUCGUAAGAAACCUAAGAGAUGAGAAAGGCUUUGAAAACUCCUGAUCUAGGCGGGAUAGUUGAAAAUCGAACUCGAAUAGCCAUGGCUGGCCAGACAGAAGUUGAAGAUGACCGGAGAGCAGCCAUCGAGCAAAAUCUUGGUCGAGACCCCUUCAAUAUCUGGUUGUAGGACCUCAGAGAUGAGAAUAUAGAAGCCAUGAGAGGCCGGUAUAGGCCUCUGAUGAGUCUGGGAAGCCAUGGAUUAAGGUUUCAAUGGUAGGCAGCAACUAGGGAUUAGGUGAGUUGAGAGAAGGGAGGAAUCAAAGGGCGGCGUUUGGUGAGAAAUAGGGUAGGGCAAUAGGUCGUUUGGAAUUAAAAAAUAAAAGGAGAGGUUUGGGUCGUUGAUCAAAAUGAUCAACGACUCAGAUUAAAGAAAGAAUGUACGGGUCUGGGUUGAAUAGGUAAUUGGGAUGGGGUGAUUUGGGCUUAAUUUGGGGCUGAAUGGGGUUGCUAAAGUGGCUAUAACUGAAAUGUAAUUGGGGCCAAAUCGUAAAUAGCCACUUUUUUCCUUUAAUUUUUUAUAAAAUAGUAAUAAAAAUUUUAUAAGUAGAUUAAGCGUACUGGGUAAAUACAUAUUAUAUAAAUAUUAAUUUAAAAAUACUUAAAUUAAUUUUAUAAUUGUAAAAUACUAUAAAUCACAAGAGAUGCUAUAAUUGCAAUUAUAUGCAAUUUAGCUUAAAAUGCCAAAUGAAUUUGUAAAAAUAUGCAAAAAUUAUAUUAAUUAUAUUUUUGUAUAAAUAUGAAAAUAAAAUAAGUUCUUCACCAAAAAUAAUAAUUUUUGGGAGUAGUUAUUGGAUUUUGUGGUAUAAAAUAGGCAAUAAAUUGGUUUUAAAAAUAUUAAAAAUACCAAAACUAUUGUGUGCACUUAUAUAUGCACCUAUAUGCUAUUCUUAAAGUAUUUUGGGUACAAAAAAUAUAUGAAAAAAAUUGGGUAUCAACAAGCGUUUUGGAUUUGAGAAGUAUUAUUUGGGGUUGAGAAUUACUAGAGAAGAGACUAAGAUGGAGAGUUGCUAAUGAAAAAAAUGUUUAUGUUUGGAGAGAUCCUUGGAUUUCCAAUGCUACUAAUUUUAGACCUUAUAGAAGUACUGUUAAUGUUAACGAUAACUUAGGCCUAAGAGUGACAUAGCUUAUAAAUUUAGAAUUUGGGACUUAAAAAUUGGAAGAAUUAAAUAGACUUUUUUUGUAAAGAUGAUAUAAAUGCUAUGUUGACAAUUCCUUUAUCCACAACUACUUUCAAGGAUAAAUUAUAUGGCACUUUACCAAAUUCGGCAACUAUGAAGUUAGAUUUGGUUAUCAUACUGCAAAAAUUAGGCAAACAAGGUGAGAAUAGCAGGAAUAUUGCUCUUGUCAUUCUUUCCCUAAAGCUUUUUGAAAUUAUUUAUGGCUAUGGAUAAUAAAAAUAAGCAUAAACAUUUCAUUAGAAGAUGUAUACUUAACACUUUAUCUGCGAAUAAUAUUCUUAGAAAGAGAAUGAAGUAAAUUAAUGGUGUAUAUAAAAGAUGUAGCUUAGAGAAUGAAAAUGUAGAAUAUAUGCUUUUUAAUUGUUAAUUGGAAUGACAUUGAUGGUAUUGCUUAUUUCUCUAUAUGGUGGAAUGAUAAGAUGAACAAGGCAAAUAAAUUUUCUGGUUCUGUUAUGGUGCCAAAUUUGUUUGUAAGCUAUUGAAAUGGCAAUUCAAAAUGGAUGGACGAAAAUAUAUUUUUUCUUUGAUGCGAAAGGGAUUGUAGAAUAUUUGGAACAUGUCUUCAAUCCUUGAGCAUGUAUUCCUAGAAUGUUUAAUUCUGUUGCUUAUAACUUAACGUAAUAAUCUUUUUCUUUAGUACAUGAUUUUUCUUGGGAAAGUAUAUUCCCAAGUUGAUAGAUGAAUAUUUUCGAUAGAAAAAAAAAUGAAAAAUGGGAUAAGCCAACUACAGGAACUAAAAGUAUUACUCCAUCCGUUUCAAUUUAUGUGAAUCCAUUUAACUGGACCCAAUUUAAAAAAAUAAAGAAGAUUUUUGAAUUUGUGGUGUAAAAUAAGACACAUAUAUUUUAUAUGAAUAUAAAUUAUUACAUAAAAUUAAAUUAUUUUUAAAUACGCAAAUGAGUUAAAAAAGAAAUAUAUUCACUAGGUAGUAUUCAUUUUAAAAUAAUGGCUACCCUGUGUUAUUUCUACGGAUUUACGUUCCAUGUCAAUUUGGACUUCCUCAUUUUUCACGUGAUAAAAAUCCUACACGGGUAAAAAGACAACUCUUGGCAGAGUGGUUGGUAGUCCUACCGUACUGUUUCGUUUCUCUUUUAAUCAGCGCUUCAUUACUGUUUCUCCCUCCUCUUGCUCCGUUCCUCCAUUUUUCUCUCUCUCGGUACAAUGACAAUUAGGCUCUUCUUUCUUCUCGCCCUCUUCCUAUCUGCUUCAUCAAUUCUUCAUGGUUCGUUCCUCAGAUCCAGAUCUCUUUGCCCCCCACACUCCAUUUCCACUACGUUCUUCUUCUCAGAUUCAGAUUUUCCCCCUUUGGCCAAUUGCUCUAACUUUAGAUAUAUUAUCGUUCUUUGCAUGUACUGUAUUCAUUGUUUUGAAAUAUAAAAUUUUUAUACCAGUUCCGAGACAAUUGUGAUCACAAUGGAAUAGUGGGUGCUUGUUAACUUAAAAUCUCUGUGAUUAUAUAUUUUCUGCAUGCUCAUGCAGGAUAAUGUGAGGAAGUGUAUGUUGUCUUAACAUUAGUUUAUCAUCCCUUGGUUUGAUUUUGGGUAGUGAGAUUCAAUUGGGCCAAAGUAAAGGUUUAAUUAUUUGAAUGUUCGUCUCAAUCACUUAAUUUUACAUUUCUAGAGUUGUGUUUUCUUUUUGCGAUUGCUUUGUAUUCGUUUCCAAUAAAAAACAAAUUAUUGAGUAUUGGAAUGAAAUAGGAUGAAAAAGGGCAAAAUGGACGAAGUUGAUUCAUCAUUGACCAUAGCUAGUUUGGGAUUACGACGUAGUAGCUGUUGCUAUUAUAUUAUGGUCCGGGUGAUAUUUGGUUGGAUUUGAUUUGGCCUUUUUAAGUAAAUCUGUUAUGUCUCUUUAUAAGGUAUUUUGUUCCUGUGAUGUUAAAUUGUAACCGUACAAUUGAACUCUUUGAUGGUUUUACCCAACUGAAGCUGGAAGUCAGUUCACAGUUAAUCUUUGGAAAUACCCUUUGGAAUUUGUAUUAGCAUUAUAUUCAUUUUUCAUGGCAAAGUUACUCAAACUGUCUAUUAGUUGAAAUUUUCCUCUGAUGCAAUGUGCUGGAAAAAACUGUUGAUGCAUGCAUUAAUAGAUCCUUUUCCACCAUAAAGAUUUUUAGUUCACUUGAUUUCUGGUGUGAGUCAGACACAUUUCAAUACCUUAUGAUCCUUUAGGCUGUUGAUUGUGAAGGGGAUCUUGUUGGAUUUGAGACUAUUAUUUAAUAAUUCAUUUUUGGUUUUUUACGAUGUUUAUAUUUCUU